AACGAACGCUGGCGGCAUGCCUAACACAUGCAGGUCGAACGAAGCCUUCGGGCUUAGUGGCGCACGGGUGCGUAACGCGUGGGAAUCUGCCCUUGGGUUCGGAAUAACAGUUAGAAAUGACUGCUAAUACCGGAUGAUGUCUUCGGACCAAAGAUUUAUCGCCCAAGGAUGAGCCCGCGUAGGAUUAGGUAGUUGGUGGGGUAAUGGCCCACCAAGCCGACGAUCCUUAGCUGGUCUGAGAGGAUGAUCAGCCACACUGGGACUGAGACACGGCCCAGACUCCUACGGGAGGCAGCAGUGGGGAAUAUUGGACAAUGGGCGAAAGCCUGAUCCAGCAAUGCCGCGUGAGUGAUGAAGGCCUUAGGGUUGUAAAGCUCUUUUACCAGGGAUGAUAAUGACAGUACCUGGAGAAUAAGCUCCGGCUAACUACGUGCCAGCCGCCGCAGUAA
rnacentral:rRNA from 1 species